GGGCACACCAACCAUAUAUCACCACCACCUCAUGGAAGUGAGAAAUCUUAGAUGUGAUCCUUGUGACAGAUCAUUUGGAAGUGAAAGGUCAUUAACACAGCACAUUCAUAGAGUCCAUAAUACAGAAAAUACUGAUGACAUUUUCGAAAGUGAUGAAGAGAAUUCUAAAUCCAAACCUCCAGGACGACGUGGAAAGAAAAAGGAAACAGAGAAGUACAUAUGUGAUGUUUGCAACAAAUCAUUCCCGUCACGUUACAAAUUGUCAGCUCACAGGAAAAUUCAUAUUGAGAAGCCUUACAAGUGUGACCAGUGUAACAGAUCAUUUCCAGCGAAAUCAAUUCUCAAUAUGCACAAAAUGAAGCACAAUAAAAUACCUCACAAAUGUAAUAUUUGCGAAAAAACGUUUUCCGCGCGAUUUUCAUUGGUGGUCCAUAAAAGAAAGCAUAGUGGAGAACGUCCUUUUGUUUGUAGCGUGUGUAAUAAAGCAUUUCGAAGCAAGCAGUGGCUGAAAGAACAUCAAAUGCAACACACUGGAGAGUCCCGUUUUAAGUGUGGUUCUUGUGGAAAGCCUGAAAAAUCUCGAGGUUCUUUAAUUAUUCAUGAAAGACAACAUAGUGGAGAACGGCCUUUUGUUUGUAACAUGUGUAAUACAGCAUUUGCAACUAAACAAAUUCUGAAAAUACAUGAAAUUAAACACACGGGAGUAUCGGCACACAUGUGUGAUAUAUGUGGGAAGGCUACAGCUUCUCCUUCUGCUUUACUACUGCACAAAAAAACCCACAAGGAGAAAGGAGAAAGGAAAGGAGAAUACAUUUGUGAUGUCUGCAACAAACGUUUUUUUACACCAGAUGAUUUAGCUACUCAUAAAAAUGGUUCUGUAGAAUGUAAUUGUGAUAUUUGUAAAGCGAGAUUUUGUACAUCACAAGAUUUAUCUACUCAUCGAUGUUACCAAUGUGAUAUCUGUGGCAAAGCAUUUACAACAUCUGGCUAUCUUGUUAUUCAUAAACGACGACAUACAGGGGAUAAACGUUACCAAUGUAAUCUCUGUCCCAAAUCAUUUGUUAUGUCAUGCGAAUUGGCUAACCAUAAACCAACUCACUUCAAAGAUAAACCUUUCCAAUGUGACGAAUGUGAGAAAUCAUAUGCAAGAAUAAAGGACUUACGAAAGCAUAAGAUAGUACAUACUGAUGAAUAUCCACAUAAAUGCCCUUUUUGUGAAAGAAAGUUUAAAUUUAAGGGAUCGUGGCAACACCAUAUACAAACUCAUUCUGAAUCAGAAAAGCCGUUUGAAUGCAAAACAUGUAAUAAAAGGUUCGUCCUGUUAUCCCUUUUGCACAAGCAUGAGAAAAUACAUUUUAAACCGUUUAAGUGUGAAACCUGUGGUGAACAAUUUACGAAGAAGCAUGUUCUAGAUGCUCACGUAAUGUGGCAUGCUGGCAAAGAGUGCGAACACUGUUCUGAGAAGUUCUUUAAUCGAGAAGAUUUAGAGAAGCACAAGAAAACACAUACAUUUAAAUGUAGAAGUUGUGAUAAACAAUUUUCCAAGAAGCAAUCCUUAGAAGCUCACGAAAUGUGGCAUGCUGGAAAGCAGUGUGAAUAUUGUUUUGAGAUGUUCUUUAAGCCCAGACCGUUUGAGGAACACAAGGAAAGUCAUAAUGAAAAAAUGCCAUACAACUGUGGUAUUUGUGAAAAGUCUUUCCCCAAACCUACUCUUCUACUCCAUCAUGUUGAGGUACAUUUCAAAGACAAGACCCACGUGUGUUCAACUUGUGAAACAAUGUUUUCCAAGAAAUCUCACGUACGUCAUCAUGAGAACACUCAUAAAGGAGAUAUCUCUUGCAAGUGUAAAUUAUGUGACAAACAGUUCCUAAAUUAUGGAGACCUUAUAUCACAUAUGCAAAUGUGUAAGAUUGAAAAAAUAGGUGUUAGGCCAUAUAAGUGCAAAGUUUGUAUCAAAGCAUUCGAAUCUGGUCAAACAUUGGUUAGACAUGUGCUCAAAUAUCACCCUGGUGUAACGGCUUUUGCAUGUGAUUUUUGUGAACAAGAAUUCAUGACCUCAAGUGAGUUGAAACAACAUGAACAUGGCCAUAUUGGACAGAAUCCUUAUAAAUGCACCGUUUGUGGAAUGAACUUUCCUAAAUCAAGCAACCUGAAACAACAUGAACAAACCAUGGAUAAGAGGGAAAAGUCGUACAAAUGUGAUGUCUGUGCGCAGGUGUUUACUCUCUUAAAACAGUUAAAAUUGCAUUGGAAGAUUCACGAAGGAGACGAAUCCAGUGGGAACGCGACAUCCGUUCAGGUGAUUGAUGAAGAGAGAGCACAUUAAUGUGUAUGAUCAUUUUGGUACUCUAUCUAAACAAUAGAGUGAAGUUUUAUAUAUUACCUGGGGCCGGUUGUUCAAAAGCCGGUUAACUUUAACCCAGGAUUAGCGCUAACCCUGGAUUAAAAUCCCUAACCCAGGGUUAGUUAACCCCGAGUUAAAACUACGUUGUUCAAAGCUGGUUUAGAGGUGCGGUUAGUUAACCCAGGGUUAAGACGUUUAACCCAAGGUUAAAUUUGUUUUAAAAAUAAAUGUAAUGUAAGAACGUUUUUGAUUGGCUGGAAAGUAAGUGUCAAAACUAGGGAUAGAAGAGGUAGAUGGCAGAAAUAUUGUUUAACAAGCAAUAGGCAACUGAAAUUGAACAUUUCAGACAAGAAUUUAAACAUUUUGAAAGUUUCAAGAAAAAAAAUAUACUUGAUCAAAGCGGCAAAGCCAUUUAAAUAAAUCAAUUUUGGAAUUUUAGGCAGUGCUUGAAUAAUUAAAUUUGAGAACAAAAUCCCAGCCAAUCAAAUGAACUUCGAAUUAUUUUGGAGUUGAAAAGCAUUUUCAACGCAGGCGUGGCUAUAUAAAAACAGAACACGAAAACAGAAAAAGAAGCAGCGAACUGAGUGAAGUUGUUUUACAGCUUUCAAAAAUAGUGUUUUUACUAGGUAAUACACUGCGCUGCAAACAGUAGAUGUGCAAGAACUUUUGACUGUUCAACAAAUGGCAAAUGGAAAUUUUGUGAAACAGGUUGUGGUACGGCGAAAUGUUUGGCAAUACAAGUAUUUUUUCUAGAGUUAUUUUUCGAAGAAACUUGAGUUGAAUGCUCGGCUUUAAUAAAACUACAGUCUACAGUUUUGGUGGCGGCAAGCGACAAAGAUCUUGUGAGGUGAAUCCUUUUACUGUACAGUGUACACAAUCUUGAUUAAGACAUUUGUGUACCAAAUUAUAUUUUGAAAACCGGCAGACGUAGCUGUAAAUUUAUAAGGUAUUUUUCCACAGUAUUAAAACACAAUAAAACAGUAAAUUAUGAUGUCCAUGCUUAGACCAUAGGCCUAUCACCCCAAAAUGGCCAGAAUGUUGCCGUAUCUUUUACUUUAAUGCUCGUAUAUAAAUUCAAAGCUAACUUGUAGGUAUAAAAUCAUUUCAAAGGCUGAUACGAGACGAAUAAGAAUCUUAAUAGUAUUUAUAGACUUAGAAUUUACUUUUUGAGGUUGAUUUUCCUCCAUAAAAUCUUUGUAUACUGUUUGUUUCACCAAGAGUUUUACAUGUUUUCUUUUUUCACUCCUUCGACGUCCAUUUUGAAUACGAGUUAACCGGCCGAUUAGCAAGUUAACCCACCUAGCAAGGAGGGUUAAAUUUAACCCUUGUUUUAACCGAGGGUUAAGGAUAAACUAGCUUUGAACAACACAAAGUAACCUAGGGUUAAAAUUUAACCCUAUAGGUUAAGCCAAUUUAACCCUAGGUUAUAGCGUUAAUCGGCUUUUGAACAACCGGCCCCAGUUGUGUUGACAUAGAUUUAAGGUUACAAGAUACGUUAAAAAUGUUGUAUUUUUACAUGACUGUGUUCUUCAGGCCGAGAAAUAUGAUAAAAACUAAAUUUUUGCACGAAAUAUGGGCAUGUGUUGACAGCAGUAGCUACAGGUCUUUCUUCAAUUUCUCAAGUAGAAUCUAAACAUUUGUUGCGAAUGUCAUAUAAUCAUGUAACCGCAUUAAAAAGUGAUUGGGCUUAGUAUUAUGCACUCAAGCACUUUUCCCAGAUUAUAGCCGAACUAUAAAUCUGUAAUUGAAGCAGAAUAAUCAGUUUGUUUUCUGAAGGUGUUACCUUCCUAUCAUUUAUACGAGGAAAUGCAUGGACGUGUAUUUAUUUGAUAUGAUAAUUGAAACUCCACCAAAAGAUACACGAGAAUCACUGAGUGUUUGUUCGAAAGCAGGCUUAAUCUAUAGGGUUAACAAAAAUGUUAAAGCAUUUUUCCCAACAGCAUGUUCACAAUGAAAUGUUUGAAACAACGUUCUACAGUUUUGAAAUUAAGGGAUCUGCAGGAAUAGACAAAACAGUGUGUUCAAUUUAACCCAGGAUUAGUAGUGCUACCCGUACAAGUUUGUUCGAUCACUAAACAUUUUAGUUAGAAAGGUGUAGACAGAGAGUUAUAUAUUACGGAACGAAAACUUAUAGGUACCGCACACACUUUUGUACAGGUAUCAUUUCACUUUUUAAAAAAUGUACUUGCAAAGGAUUUGAUCAAAACAACAACAGUUUAAUAAUAAUUUUGAAUGAAGUGAGUGCGUUUUCCUGGUUUAACCUGUGGUUUAACAAGUUGACUGAUUUAGCAUUCACGUUCCACAAUUGGUCAAAAUUUGACCCAAUUUUGAUAAAAACACAAGCCCCAAUUAUUUGUGAAUAACGCACGCUAAACUUAAAAACUGUUGUAUUAUUGGGUAUAUGUGACAAUUUGGUCGCACAUAGAUUUUGAAACGACAAUAUUAACUUCAAUAUACAUGUU